GGCGCCCCGGGAGCGGGAGCGGGAGCGGGAGGCGGGAGGCGGAGGGCCGCGGGGAGGGCCCCGGGCGGGGCUGAGGACGCGCCCUGCCGACAGCUGCGACGCGGUGCUCCCUGCUGAGUCCGAGCGGGCCGGCCCGAGAGAACAAGCUACAAUAGCCCGGCAGAUGGAGUAAGUUUCCGAACAAGGAGGAUGAACAGCUGUCCGAUGGCUCCUGAACCUGUGUAGAAAUGAGUGGGACCCUCUGAAUUCUACCGGUGAUGGAUUACACAACACAUGCAGCUAAGGCUUGAAGCUCCCGAAUGCUUUAGCUCUUAGCUGGCUCUGCCAGGUGUGGUAACCUUUGUCCCCUGGUGAAUGAGCUUCUUCAAGGCAAGAGCUAGCGUCAUCUAUUUAUCAGUGUAUGCUCAGCACCAAGCACAAUACCUGGCACGCACUGAUCUAGUUCAAAUAGUAAGAAAGACACUGAAAUUGGGAAAACUUCUCGGCCCCUUCUCCCACUUCUUGCCAAUCAUUACUGAACAAACUAAUUCCAGUUACCUCAACUGAUGGGCACUUUAUUGUAGGAAUGAAUGUGUGAAAGAAGGAAGCAGACAUCUCAGCCACUGUGUAGACCAGGUAUCAUAUCAAUCCUAUGUGGAAUCCUCAGGAACAGUAGGAACUGAUGCAGAUUUGGGCCUCACAGGCACUAAAAGAAAAAGUUCAAAGCAAAUGCAGUAUCAGGAAGCUCUCAGGUCAUUACAGUAUGAAGCCAAGGUUGAGAAUCAUUGACUCAAGGGAAAAUCAACCCAUAAACCUCAAGAGGGUUUCUCUUGAAAGAACCACUGAAAGAUGGACACCAGACAACAAAGCAAGGAAUCAAGAGAAAGAGCUUAGGAAUGAAGAAGUUGUGGCGAGAGAUUUUAUUUACUUAUUCAUGAGAGACACACAGAGGCAGAGACACAGGUAGAGGGAGAAGCAGGAUCCCUGCGAGGAGCCCAAUGUGGGCCUCCUUGGAACAAUUGCUCAUGAUGCCUGCCAGCGUUUUGAGACUGGGCGGCACAGCACCUCAAGACCAGCCCAGGGAAGUAAACUAUAACAGAGAUCCAUACAGGUCAGUGGUUAUGCAACGCCGCGGAAAGCCGAGAAGGAAGGCAAACAGAUGUAGCUUCCACGUGGUGUGAUGGGCCCUCGUGCCCCAGCUGCAUUAGGCCUUUUCUGGGACUGCAGAGCUGCGUGAAGGACCAGAACCCGUUCCCACGCAGUGUAUUCUGCGCGGAUGGCCCCCUGUGAAACGUGGUAGCCCCACAUUUUUUCCUGCUCCCCCACAUUAUGUGACCAACCUGUAGCCACCUGAUAGGUUGUAAAACUAGUUUUCCUGCUGUCUUGCCACCUAAUCAGUUCUCACGUGAGUUCUUUUUUUUUUUUUUUUUUUUUUUUUCCUCUGGGUCAGAGGAUCAUGAGUUCUUGGGUUCACUGUGGUCAGAGUCAAUAGCCACCUUUCCGGAAGCUGCUUGCCAAUGAGAUAAUUCAGAAUUUCUUCGGGAAACACCAAUAUCUAAAUCCACACAGAUUUUCCAUUUUUCUAACUAGAACAGCUGAAUACAGCUUAGUCAGGAACACCCUAGGAUUAGCAGGCUGUCAAACACUCUUAAUUACAUUUGGACUGUUUGGCAUCUCUCACAUCUGGAGCCCUGAAGUAUUAAGCAAGUCAUGUGACUAUUUAAUUGGGUCAAGAUGGCCUUUCCUAAAGUUAGGCAAUUGUUCCCACCAACAGUCUUCAUGUUUCUGGUUUGGAAAAGAGAUAUAACACUGUUUGCUAUGUGCCUCUUACUAUAAAUGUUGGACACUGUUCUAAGCACAUAAUAUGAACUAAUUCAUUUAAUAUGGUGCUACCAUAUAAGGAAACCCAGGCAUUGAGAAGUCAGGCGACCUGCUCCUAGUCACAUAGCCACCCUUCCCUAGCCUGCUUUGCCUUUGGCUAUUCCAUACUUGAUUUUAGCCAGCAGCCAGAGGAAAGGGAAAAAACUCCACAGUAAAGUUUGUUUCUAAUAGCUGCAGAGGAGUAUUUCAUUCUGUUACCAAAUUUACCAUGAAGAGUUUGAUUCCAGCCAUACAAAGAGCUUUAAAAAAUAUACUAAUUUCACAGUCAUGUAAUUCCGAUUCUAAAAAAAAUGUGUAUUUGAGAUAUAAUGAGAGUCUUUCCCCAUUUUAUUUGUCAUAUUUUUUUUUCUAAAAAGUUGCUUUAUGGGGCAGCCCGGUAGCUCAGUGGUUUAGCGCUGCCUUCAGCCCAGGACCUGAUCCUAAAGACCCAGGAUCGAGUCCCACAUCAGGCUC